GUCUAUGGCCAUGCCACCCUGAACGUGCCGGAUCUCAUCUGAUCUCGGGAGCCAAGCAGGAUUGGGCCUGGUUAGUACUUGAAUGGAAGAAAGGAGAAGAGGGAAGGAAAAAGAUA
rnacentral:rRNA from 1 species